rnacentral:rRNA from 1 species
AUGGAGCGCAUGGCGACCUCGUAUUUUCAGGAAGUUUUCACCAAAGAUCCGACACUUACACCUACGGGUGUGCUUGACGGUAUAGCUCCUAAAGUGACACAGGGCAUGAAUGAUAUGUUGUGUGCGCCGUUUUCAGAGGAGGAUGUGUCUAAUGCUUUGUUUCAAAUCGGCCCGAUCAAAGCGCCUGGUAACGAUGGCUUGCCGGCUAGGUUCUUCCAGCGCAACUGGGCUGUUUUGAAGACGGAGAUUAUAGCUGCGGUUUUGGAUUUCUUGAAGUCAGGAGUAAUGCCAGAGGGAGUGAAUGAUACGGCCAUCGUCCUUAUCCCAAAAGUUCCUUAUCCAAAGGAACUGAAGGAUUUCAGACCGAUAAGUCUAUGUAACGUGCUGUAUAAAAUCGUGUCUAAGUGCUUGGUCAAUCGUUUGCGACCGCUGUUGGGUGAGUUGAUCUCAGAAAAUCAAAGUGCAUUCAUUCCUGGAAGGCUUAUUUCGGAUAACUCUAUCAUAGCUUUUGAGUGCAUCCAUCAUAUACAAACUAUGAAAACAAACAGUCCAGCUGCUUGUGCUUACAAGUUGGAUCUCUCGAAAGCAUAUGAUCGUGUCGAUUGGGAGUUUUUGGAGCAAGCCCUAAUCAAAUGGGGGUUCUCGAUGGAGUGGUUUCAUGGAUAA